rnacentral:rRNA from 1 species
ACGGGAGGCAGCAGUGAGGAAUAUUGGUCAAUGGGCGAGAGCCUGAACCAGCCAAGUAGCGUGUAGGACGACUGCCCUAUGGGUUGUAAACUACUUUUGUUCGGGAAUAAAGUCAGGUACGUGUACCUGUUUGUAUGUACCGUUCGAAUAAGCAUCGGCUAAUUCCGUGCCAGCAGCCGCGGUAAUACGGAAGAUGCGAGCGUUAUCCGGAUUUAUUGGGUUUAAAGGGAGCGUAGGCGGUCCUUUAAGUCAGCGGUCAAAUGUCGGGGCCCAACCCCGGCCUGCCGUUGAUACGGGAGGACUUGAAUACACACAAGGAAGGUGGAAUUCGUCGUGCAGCGGUGAAAUGCUUAGAUAUGACGAAGAACUCCGAUUGCGAAGGUAGCCUUCUGGAGUGCGAUUGACGCUGAGGAUCGAAAGCGCGGGUAUCAAACAGGAUUAGAUACCCUGGU